CGUGCCUAGUACAUGCAAGUCGAACGCAUUGUGGUUGAAAUGAUAUGAAGAACUUGUUCAGAUUUGAUUUUCAACAUUGCAAUGAGUGGCGAACGGGUGAGUAACACGUGGGAAACCUACCUCUUAGCAGGGGAUAACAUUUGGAAACAAAUGCUAAUACCGUAUAAUAAUUAAAACCGCAUGGUUUUAGUUUAAAAGAUGGUCUUGCUAUCACUAAGAGAUGGUCCCGCGGUGUAUUAGUUAGUUGGUGAGGUAAUGGCUCACCAAGACAAUGAUACAUAGCCGAGUUGAGAGACUGACCGGCCACAAUGGGACUGAGACACGGCCCAUACUCCUACGGGGGGCAGCAGUAGGGAGUCUUCCACAAUGGACGAAAGUCUGAUGGAGCAACGCCGCGUGUGUGAUGAAGGGUUUCGGCUCGUAAAACACUGUUGUAAGAGAAGAAUGACAUUGAGAGUAACUGUUCAAUGUGUGACGGUAUCUUACCAGAAAGGAACGGCUAAAUACGUG
rnacentral:rRNA from 1 species